GUGCUCGUUUGGGCAGCACAUACACUAAAAUUGGAACUAUACAGAGAUUAGCAUGUCCCCUACACAAAGAUGAAACACAAAUUCAUGGAAAAAAAUUUU
rnacentral:snRNA from 1 species